GUGGGCUAAUACCGGAUAUGAGCACUCAUCGCAUGGUGGGUGUUGGAAAGAUUUAUCGGUGGGGGAUGGACUCGCGGCCUAUCAGUUUGUUGGUGAGGUGAUGGCUCACCAAGACGAUGACGGGUAGCCGGCCUGAGAGGGCGACCGGCCACACUGGGACUGAGACACGGCCCAGACUCCUACGGGAGGCAGCAGUGGGGAAUAUUGCACAAUGGGCGAAAGCCUGAUGCAGCGACGCCGCGUGGGGGAUGACGGCCUUCGGGUUGUAAACCCCUUUCAGUAGGGAAGAAGCGAGAGUGACGGUACCUGCAGAAGAAGCGCCGGCUAACUACGUGCCAGCAGCCGCGGUAAUACGUAGGGCGCAAGCGUUGUCCGGAAUUAUUGGGCGUAAAGAGCUUGUAGGUGGCUUGUCGCGUCUGCCGUGAAAACCCGAGGCUCAACCUCGGGCGUGCGGUGGGUACGGGCAGGCUAGAGUGUGGUAGGGGAGACUGGAACUCCUGGUGUAGCGGUGAAAUGCGCAGAUAUCAGGAAGAACACCGAUGGCGAAGGCAGGUCUCUGGGCCAUUACUGAC
rnacentral:rRNA from 1 species